GUAGGGUCCGAGCGUUGUCCGGAAUUAUUGGGCGUAAAGGGCUCGUAGGCGGUUUGUCGCGUCGGGAGUGAAAACAUGGGGCUUAACUCCUGGCUUGCUUUCGAUACGGGCAGACUUGAGGUAUUCAGGGGAGAACGGAAUUCCUGGUGUAGCGGUGAAAUGCGCAGAUAUCAGGAGGAACACCGGUGGCGAAGGCGGUUCUCUGGGAAUGACCUGACGCUGAGGAGCGAAAGUGUGGGGAGCGAACAGGAUUAGAUACCCUGGUAGUCCACACCGUAAACGUUGGGCGCUAGGUGUGGGGUCCAUUCCACGGGUUCCGUGCCGCAGCUAACGCAUUAAGCGCCCCGCCUGGGGAGUACGGCCGCAAGGCUA
rnacentral:rRNA from 1 species